GUGUUCGAUCAUACUAGCACUAAUGCACCGGAUCCCAUCAUAACUCUGAAGUUAAGCGUGCUUGGGCGAGAGUAGUACUAGGAUGGGUGACCUCCUGGGAGGUCAUCGUGUUGCACCGC
rnacentral:rRNA from 1 species